UACAGAGGGUGCAAGCGUUAAUCGGAAUUACUGGGCGUAAAGCGUGCGUAGACGGUUGCGUAAGUCAGAUGUGAAAGCCCCGGGCUCAACCUGGGAAUUGCAUUUGAGACUGCGUAGCUAGGGUGCGGAAGAGGGAAGCGGAAUUUCCGGUGUAGCGGUGAAAUGCGUAGAUAUCGGAAGGAACACCAGUGGCGAAAGCGGCUUCUGGUCCAGCACCGACGUUCAGGCACGAAAGCGUGGGGAGCAAACAGG
rnacentral:rRNA from 1 species